rnacentral:lncRNA from 1 species
ACAACCGCUAAGAAAGGAAAGCUUCCACAAGGUGAUACUGUACCAUCACUCUUCAAGUAAGGUAACAUCUUAAGGUACUUGACUAUCACUUCUAUAAAGCUUCUCCUUGGUUCUGGCGUUCACAUGAAUAAAAGAGACAAAGAUGUAUGAUUUACAACUCUAGAUUAACCAACCCAAUCGAUUCAAUAUAUUUAGUCCUUCCACCUUUGUGAUCCCACACUCCUAAUCAUAUGUGCUAAAGUGUUGCAUACUCAGUAUUUGGAAGAUAUAUAUAAAAAAAGAGAAAACACAUAAGUAUAGAUAGGUUAUCUUUCCAUUAGGUUGAGCAAUUUGAUCUGACAAAUGUUUUAAAUGCUACACUCAUGAUCUUAUUAUCCAUUAACUUCAUCUUGCUCACUAUGCUUAAGGUUAGAGAAAAAAAAGAAUAAAUACAUUUUUGGUUCUGUUGGUGUUCUCCACCAACAGGGCCCAUGCACUUGAUCUCUGCCUUGUCUCUGUGAGCAGGUACACUUCGAGCAAAAUAUGAAGGACUUUUACAACUCCCAGACUCCACCAAGUGAAGAAUCUAGAUCUACGAGCACAAACACACUGGAGAGACUGGACACUAAGGCAAUCAAUGCCCUGAACUAGAGUAACCCUGUUGUGGAAGUAAUUACUGACCUUCUGCCGGUCAAGAGAUACAAUCCAGGACGUCCCGUCAUCCCGAUCUCCAUCAGCAUGGUGGACUUCCUAGAAGCACUCUGCAACUUUGGCUCCAGCGUCAACAUUAUGCUCAGGGUACUCUAUGAAAAAUUCUUUACAUAUCCUUUCCUAGAAACAACCAUGUGUUUGCAGCUUGCAGAUCAGACACUAUGUUUCCCAAAGGGAAUAUUGAAGAACCUCUAUGUCCGAGUUGGUACCUUAUACGCUCCAGCAGACUUCGUGGUGAUAGAGACUGAUACUGAUGAGAGGGCACCCAUCAUCCUAGGGAUGCCAUUCCUAAACACCUCGGGAGCUGUCAUCUACGCUAGUGCUGCCAAGAUCAGUUUUUACAUCAAGGGGAAGAAGGAGACGUUUUCCUUCAAGAAACAAGACUACACAAAUCCCAGAGCAAUCCCGACAUGAACCAAGGAAGAGGACCAACAGGAGGAACAGGAACAAGCAAAUGUGGACCAAGUCAGCAAAGAUUGUCACUGCAGUUCAAGGAGGUCAAGAUCGUCGACUUAAGUCACCGUUCCUAACCAAAAAGGACGACCCAAGUAUGCCAAGCAUCCAGUGCUCCAUUGAUGGAUACAACUUCUAGAAGAUGCUUUGCGACAUCGGGUCAGGCGUCAACAUAAUGGCCGCCAGUCACUUAUCAGCUCCUAUUCGGAACCAUGCCCCUAAAACCGACAUACAUUCAGCUUCAGAUGGCAGAUCAGACAUUCUGAAAGAUUGAAGGUUAUUGACAUGGGAGAAGACGAGUACGAUCCACCCAUCAUCCUUGGAAGACCGUUCUUUAGCACCAUUAAAGCAAUCAUAUACAUUGGAACCAGAGAAGUCCACAUGCACUUCCCCUCAGAGAAGGUACGCCACUGUUUUACUGACCCACUAUAUAGUUGAAGACUCUAAGAAGGUCAGGACAAGAAGACGACAACGCAACCGCAACCAGAGGAGGCAAAUCAUCUAGGACGGAUGGGUGACUAUGAAGGAGAAGUUGUAAGGUCUGAAGACAUACAACUUGAACAGAACUGUCCUGAGGAGACUGUAGCACCGAGUCAGGUGUGGAAAGAGAAGAUAGUUAUACACGAAGAGGAAGCACCGUCGGAACCACCGACUACGCCAUCCAGCGAAUCCCAUAAUGACUCAGGAAACGGAGAGUCCCGUUCGGAGGACUUAAAAACACCGAACGCCUUGCCAAGAGGUAAACUUGGUAGUUAUCUUUUUUCUUUUAAUUAUUUAAAAUAGUUUGCUUAGUUAUUCAGGUUCACAUCAUCUUGAAAAGAAAAUAAAAAUGUUGAAGAUAGUAAGCCCCAUGUGAAUAUGCUCAUGGCAUAAAACCCAUAAGUACAUUCACUGUGGUGGCAUAAAAAUGAAAUAAAUAUAUUCCUGUCCUAUAAAAAUAAAAUUAUAAAAAUAAAAUUAUGAUCCUACUAAUGAGUAACAUUUAUUGAGGAGGCUCAACAUGAUAAAGGCUAGAUAUUUAUGCUAACACUUAACCAGUUCCACAAAGCUUUGUUGUCUAUUUGAGCUCCACAGAAUUCAAGGAUCAAAGAAGACUAGCAGACGGAGGAUAUCCUAAUCGCUGUCAGGGUGCUGCCGACAUUCAAAUACACCUCCGCCACCUGCUAGCUACAUCAGAAGAAACUACGUCAAAAUCCAGCUUGGGGGAGAGCAUCCCAAUUAUCCAGCUAAGUAUUCUACUCACGUUUAUACUUUACUCUAAUAAUAAAAAGAUGCAUAAUCAUAGAAACCCAAAUAAAGAUUUUGUGCUUAUAUAUAUCUUUGCUUAGUUUGCUAAAUAAAUAAAUAAAUAAAGUUUGCUAUGAACCCUCAUGAUAAGCUCUCACAUGGAAAUGAUGAAUAGUUGCUCUGCCAUGAUUAGUUCUAAAGAUUGAAAUCUCUCUCAAGUUUAGGCAUGACUGGUAUUAAUUAAGAUUUGCUCUAAACCUAAACUUGUGGGGAGAGUACUUGAUCUAAAGUCUAAGUCGUUAACGGAUACGAUAUGGGAAGGUUGAGCUGCUGUUUAUCUGUUCCUAGAGAUGCUAGAAUUCUGGAGAAUUUUAUCUUUGAAAAUCUUUAAAAUAUCACAUGAUGAGUUCCUGUAUGAUGAGAGUUUAAAUUCCUACCACAGCCAUAUAUACAUGCUUGCUAGACUUUGAGCCACACAUUUACUUUUUACUGCUUAUGAGCAUUGAGUGUGGUCAAGCUGUGUAGACCCUUAGGAGUCAAGAUUCACUUGCACGUUCACUCACACAUGCUACUUCUACUCCAGAAGUACCAUCCACAUAUAUCCAUCCAUUUCCAUCUCCAGAACCACCCAAAAAUAUUCUACUCCUAAUCCGGGAGAGAAUAGCCAAAAACAUUCUCCUAUUUCUGUUUUUCCCUGUGAAAUAAAUGCUCAAGUUAUCUUGGUUACUACCACUUGCUAUAUUAUUUCAGGAGAUGAGUGCUCUAAAAAAAAGAGAAAAAAAGAGAAAGAAUACGAGGAAAUAAAAAGGGGCAAGUGCCCGGAACCUCGAAGAAAAAAAAAAUGAGACGAGAGGUAAAAAUGGACAAGUGUCCGACAGUAGAAUUAGGGGUACAAGAUACCCACCUGAGAGAAAAGAAAAAAAAAAGAAAAUAUAGAGCAUCUCAUUCUCCUCAAAAAUUUCAAAAGAGCAAGAAAGGUAUGUAUCCCCUCAAAAGAGCACAAGUAGAAUUAGGCUUUCACCAUUGUUAUCACCAUACACCAUUCAUUCGCCACACAUGCACAUCUUGAUUUGACUUAUUGACUUGUUCUUCUGGAUCCAUGGUUUGACUAUGCAAUAAAUGUCUUGUAAGUAUGUAUUAGCUGUCUCCCACCUAUGAGCUCCAGAUAUUAAAAGCUUUAUUAGAGUAGGGUGAGAGAGAAGGCAAUGUCACUAUGCCUCAUACCACAAAUACCACAUACUUUGAGAGAAGGCAUACACCAUUAAUGCCUUGGUAAGGAUCCAGAAAUACCACAAAAGAGAGACUAGAGAGAGUCAUACAAGGAAUCUCUGAGUUUUAUUUGAAAAUCUGCAAAAACUCCAGAGCUAUAGCUGAUCAAAAAUAAGAGACAUGGUGCUUGACUAGACCGUUCUAUCUUUUAACUACUCAAGACAGAAGUGACGGUUACAAGUCCCAUGGUGAAAGGUAAAUGAGUAAGUUUUAAGUCUUAACAGUUUACUCUAACCAGAGAUGAGAUCUUGUUUAAACGCAUGUGUAUCUUUAAGUUAUGAAACCACUGUAGAACUCUUGAGUCCAUCUUUGCUCAGGGACGAGCAAAGGUUAAGCUUGGGGGAGCUUGUUGACGGUUCUUAAUGCUCACAAUUAACCAUCAACUAAUCAUAGAAAAGGAUCCAAAUGUAACCAACACCUAGACUUAGGGUUUUAUCUGACAGAAUUCCACGAGUUUUGGUGUUUGUCUAUUUCUGCAGGGGGUUAUCAGGAAAUAAGGAAGAAAGGCCCACACGUCGGGUUUACAUAGAGAUAUUAACGUGCCGUGCAAUUUUCUACCAUCUAGAAGACUCCAGAAGCCACGGGACCGAACGGGAGACGUAACGGAGCCGGGCACUGGGCGCCCGCCCUCCCCCCUGGACCAAUCAGGGUGAAGUUCGGGGAUCAUGCUCCACCGACCUAAUACUUCAAGGAAAACCACACGAUCAAUGUCGGUUUGAUCCGACGGCCCAGAUUCACUUGAAGGGACUAUAAAACCAGACCCCCCUGGCCCCUGGAGAUCAUACCUCUUCUACAGAAUCAAAGCUAGGGUUUCAAUUCUUCAUCCAAG